UACGUAGGUGGCAAGCGUUGUCCGGAAUUAUUGGGCGUAAAGCGCGCGCAGGCGGUUUCUUAAGUCUGAUGUGAAAGCCCACGGCUCAACCGUGGAGGGUCAUUGGAAACUGGGAGACUUGAGUGCAGAAGAGAAGAGUGGAAUUCCACGUGUAGCGGUGAAAUGCGUAGAGAUGUGGAGGAACACCAGUGGCGAAGGCGACUCUUUGGUCUGUAACUGACGCUGAGGCGCGAAAGCGUGGGGAGCAAACAGG
rnacentral:rRNA from 1 species